rnacentral:rRNA from 1 species
CCUACGGGUGGCAGCAGUGAGGAAUAUUGGUCAAUGGUCGGGAGACUGAACCAGCCAAGCCGCGUGAGGGAUGAAGGUACAGAGUAUCGUAAACCUCUUUUGUCAGGGAACAAAGGCGGGGACGUGUCCCCGGAUGAGUGUACCUGAAGAAAAAGCAUCGGCUAACUCCGUGCCAGCAGCCGCGGUAAUACGGAGGAUGCGAGCGUUAUCCGGAUUUAUUGGGUUUAAGGGGUGCGCAGGCGGACUGUUAAGUCAGCGGUAAAAGCCGGGGGCUCAACCCGGGCCCGCCGUUGAAACUGGCAGUCUCGAGUUGGAGAGAAGUAUGCGGAAUGCGCGGUGUAGCGGUGAAAUGCAUAGAUAUCGCGCAGAACUCCGAUUGCGAAGGCAGCAUGCCGGAUCCACACUGACGCUGAGGCACGAAAGCGUGGGUAUCGAACAGGAUUAGAUACCCUGGUAGUC